GAUGAACGCUGGCGGCGUGCCUAAUACAUGCAAGUCGAGCGAACGGACGAGAAGCUUGCUUCUCUGAUGUUAGCGGCGGACGGGUGAGUAACACGUGGAUAACCUACCUAUAAGACUGGGAUAACUUCGGGAAACCGGAGCUAAUACCGGAUAAUAUUUUGAACCGCAUGGUUCAAAAGUGAAAGACGGUCUUGCUGUCACUUAUAGAUGGAUCCGCGCUGCAUUAGCUAGUUGGUAAGGUAACGGCUUACCAAGGCAACGAUGCAUAGCCGACCUGAGAGGGUGAUCGGCCACACUGGAACUGAGACACGGUCCAGACUCCUACGGGAGGCAGCAGUAGGGAAUCUUCCGCAAUGGGCGAAAGCCUGACGGAGCAACGCCGCGUGAGUGAUGAAGGUCUUCGGAUCGUAAAACUCUGUUAUUAGGGAAGAACAUAUGUGUAAGUAACUGUGCACAUCUUGACGGUACCUAAUCAGAAAGCCACGGCUAGCUACGUGCCACCACCCGCGGUAAUACGUAGGUGGCAAGCGUUAUCCGGAAUUAUUGGGGCGUAAAGCGCGCGUAGGCGGUUUUUUAGUCUGAUGUGAAAGCCCACGGCUCAACCGUGGAGGGUCAUUGGAAACUGGAAAACUUGAGUGCAGAAGAGGAAAGUGGAAUUCCAUGUGUAGCGGUGAAAUGCGCAGAGAUAUGGAGGAACACCAGUGGCGAAGGCGACUUUCUGGUCUGUAACUGACGCUGAUGUGCGAAAGCGUGGGGAUCAAACAGGAUUAGAUACCCUGGUAGUCCACGCCGUAAACGAUGAGUGCUAAGUGUUAGGGGGUUUCCGCCCCUUAGUGCUGCAGCUAACGCAUUAAGCACUCCGCCUGGGGAGUACGACCGCAAGGUUGAAACUCAAAGGAAUUGACGGGGACCCGCACAAGCGGUGGAGCAUGUGGUUUAAUUCGAAGCAACGCGAAGAACCUUACCAAAUCUUGACAUCCUUUGACAACUCUAGAGAUAGAGCCUUCCCCUUCGGGGGACAAAGUGACAGGUGGUGCAUGGUUGUCGUCAGCUCGUGUCGUGAGAUGUUGGGUUAAGUCCCGCAACGAGCGCAACCCUUAAGCUUAGUUGCCAUCAUUAAGUUGGGCACUCUAAGUUGACUGCCGGUGACAAACCGGAGGAAGGUGGGGAUGACGUCAAAUCAUCAUGCCCCUUAUGAUUUGGGCUACACACGUGCUACAAUGGACAAUACAAAGGGCAGCGAAACCGCGAGGUCAAGCAAAUCCCAUAAAGUUGUUCUCAGUUCGGAUUGUAGUCUGCAACUCGACUACAUGAAGCUGGAAUCGCUAGUAAUCGUAGAUCAGCAUGCUACGGUGAAUACGUUCCCGGGUCU
rnacentral:rRNA from 1 species